AGUGAACGCUGGCGGUAGGCCUAACACAUGCAAGUCGAACGGCAGCACAGUAAGAGCUUGCUCUUACGGGUGGCGAGUGGCGGACGGGUGAGGAAUACAUCGGAAUCUACUUUUUCGUGGGGGAUAACGUAGGGAAACUUACGCUAAUACCGCAUACGACCUACGGGUGAAAGCAGGGGAUCUUCGGACCUUGCGCGAUUGAAUGAGCCGAUGUCGGAUUAGCUAGUUGGCGGGGUAAAGGCCCACCAAGGCGACGAUCCGUAGCUGGUCUGAGAGGAUGGUCGGCCACACUGGAACUGAGACACGGUCCAGACUCCUACGGGAGGCAGCAGUGGGGAAUAUUGGACAAUGGGCGCAAGCCUGAUCCAGCUAUACCGCGUGGGUGAAGAAGGCCUUCGGGUUGUAAAGCCCUUUUGUUGGGAAAGAAAAGCAGCAGGUUAAUACCCCGCUGUUCUGACGGUACCCAAAGAAUAAGCACCGGCUAACUUCGUG
rnacentral:rRNA from 1 species